rnacentral:rRNA from 1 species
ACGAACGCUGGCGGCGUGCUUAACACAUGCAAGUCGAACGGAAAGGCCCCUUUGGGGGUACUCGAGUGGCGAACGGGUGAGUAACACGUGAGUAACCUGCCCUUGACUUUGGGAUAACUUCAGGAAACUGGGGCUAAUACCGGAUAGGAGCUCCUGCUGCAUGGUGGGGGUUGGAAAGUUUCGGCGGUUGGGGAUGGACUCGCGGCUUAUCAGCUUGUUGGUGGGGUAGUGGCUUACCAAGGCUUUGACGGGUAGCCGGCCUGAGAGGGUGACCGGCCACAUUGGGACUGAGAUACGGCCCAGACUCCUACGGGAGGCAGCAGUGGGGAAUAUUGCACAAUGGGCGGAAGCCUGAUGCAGCAACGCCGCGUGCGGGAUGACGGCCUUCGGGCUGUAAACCGCUUUCGCCUGUGACGAAGCGUGAGUGACGGUAAUGGGUAAAGAAGCACCGGCUAACUACGUG